UUGCACUCCAACCUGGGCAACGAGAGUGAAACUCCAUCUCACAAAAUAAAAAAAGAAAAAGAACAAAGAAAAAGAGGCAGAUGUUGUCUCAUUUGGCUUAACAGAACCUCCAACUGAUUAUAAGCCAGGAGGGAGGAGUUUAAAAGGCCUGCUGAUCUGAAGGGGAAUCUUCAGGUCCCUAUGGGCUCUCAUCUCCCCAAGGAGUCUUCUCACUUAGACCAGCACUCCCAAAGCAUGGAACCCAGCAAUCGCUGCAGUGAGCCACAAGUGCUUUAGGGUUUCAGAGGAAAAAGCAAUGCGUUGGCCUAAAGGAAGAAGCUGAGGCAAAAUGAAUGUUAAGUAGAGAGCUUAUGUGAGCCAAAUUUGAGGACUGCAACCCUGGGGAUUUCGAUUCAAGUUGCCCAGAAUAGUGGGUUUUCAAAGGGAAAAAAGAUGGAGCAGUUCUUGGUAAAAUUGUUUACCAAGUAUUUAUAUUGGUUCAUUAAAAUACCAUAAGCUUCUUUUUUCUUCUUCUUUUUGAGACAAAGCCUCCCUGUGUUGCCCAGCCUGAUCUUGAACUCCUGUACUCAAGUGAUCAGUGUAGCUGCAAUUACAGGUGCAUGCCACAGUGACUCACUCAAAAUAACAUAAGCUAUUGAUUGGCUAUGUAUUCUUUGUAUCACAAAUGCCAGAAACAUGAAGAUAUGGGUGAGGGUCAUAUUGUGCAGCCUGUAACAUUUUAGGUAAUUUAUCAGCUAGUCUGGAAACUACAGGCAAUAAAAGAAAAAUACAAAAUGCCUUUAAACAAUUAACCCUGUGCAUAGGUUAAUGAGACUCUCCUGUCUCUCUGCUAAAUUUUGCAUUCCUCACAUUCUUCAGACUGCUCUGAGCUACUUUCCUUUCCCAAAUGAAACAGUUGUAGUCACACUUCAUAAAUUGAAAAUGUAACAUAGUAAUGAUUUCCCAGAAAUCUCAUUUUAUUCUUAAUAGUCCUUGCAUAUUUAAAUGUUGAGCAUUUUCCACAAACACGAUAUUAAUGAAAUGUUCUUAAAUAACAUUCAGUUAACAGUAUUCAGUUCAUUCUGGUUAAUAUAUUUUUCACAACAUUUGUUUAUUUCUGUUUAGUAAGUCUACAAUCUUUAUCAUUGCCAUGGGUUAUUAGAUUGACUUAGUGGCUCAGAAGUAUUCAUUGAAUCCUAAAAUAAUGAUGGAGAGAGUAGCGGAUAUUCCACACAUCAGGAUAAUCUGUGAACACACAUAAUGCUCAUAAUUCCAGAAUGAUGUAGAAUGGCAACCAGGACUCCAUGGGUCAAGCACAUCUGCAGGUGUGAUGAUCUUGCACAAGCAGCCAAAAAGUGAAAGUGAGAAGCGCCACAAUGAACAUCUGAAAAAUGUGUUUGAUUAAAUCCAAGUUCUCCUUCCCCCAGAUCCCUGAGCACAGUUAUAAGACCUGGCCAGAUGAGAUUGUUAGGACUCAGAAAACAAUACCCCUGUAGGAUCCAAGAGAAAAUGUCCUUUUUGCCCCCUAAAGGUUUGCUAAAAAAAUAACUUACAAAAGACAGAUUAAUUGGAGAAAAGGCAUAUGAAUUUAUGUGCACAUAGGAAAGAACCACAGAGUGAUUACUCCAAACACCCAGUGGGGUACAGAAGCUUAUAUACCACCUUGAGGUUACCAAAAGAAUGGGAGCCCAAAACAGGUUAUAGUGGUAAAUCAGGCUAUGACGCAAGACAGGUUAUGGUGGGGAGAGAAGGGGAGGCCUGGCUAGCAAACGUGGUCUUGCUAUGUAGAUGAAACCUCACAGAUAGCAGCCUGCAGAAAGAAUAGAUGAUAAAUGUUUCCAACCUUCAAAGGUAUCAAACUCUCACUUAAUCUUUCCUAGAUCAAACAAAGGAGGGCUCAGAAGAAGCCUGGCUGCAUCAAGGCAGAUUCCGUACAGAUGCAAAACUCCCCAUGAAAGACAGCUUUGCAGGGCUACUCCUGUUGGCUGGCUCUCUGAAGAGACACCUCAAAAUAUAUCAAAGAAGGAUAUUUUGGGGUGGUUUCCCUGGAGUUUGCAAUAUAUGUUUAUGACUAACUCGAGUCCACUUUCAAAUUACACUAUAACACCUUGCAGGCAAUGUGAGUACCUUAUAAUAACAAGAUACUCCUAAUUAUUCCCUCUUGUUCUUUGUAUCAUUGUUGUCAUUUGUUUCAUUUUAUAAUAAGCUGUAAUGGUUUGAAUGCAUUUUUGCUAUUAUAUUUUGUUUUGUUUUGUUUUUUAUUUAGAGAUGGGGUCUCCCAAUGUUGAGCAGGCUGGCCUCACACUCCUAGGUUCAAGUGAUCCACCCGCCUCGGCCUCCCAAAGUGCUGGGAUUACAGGCAUGAGCCACCGCGCCCGGCCUGCUAUUAUUGUUUUGAACAAACUGUUAUCUGUUUGAUCAAUCAAGAAUAAGAAAAAUAGGAGGGGAGGGAGAGAAAAAAAAGAAUAAGAAAAAUAAACAUUUUUAUUUUAAUCUUCAUUUACUCCUUCUCUAAUACUUUUCACUUCGUUAUGUAGAUCCGAGUUUCUUACCUACAUAAUUUUCCUUCUCUCUGAAGAACUUCUUUAACAUUUCUCCAGGCAGGUCUACUGGCAA